rnacentral:rRNA from 1 species
GUGGGGAAUAUUGGACAAUGGGCGCAAGCCUGAUCCAGCAAUGCCGCGUGUGUGAAGAAGGCCUGCGGGUUGUAAAGCACUUUAAGCAGGAAAGAAGGCUUCAGGGUUAAUACCCUUGGGGAUUGACGUUACCUGCAGAAUAAGCACCGGCUAACUCCGUGCCAGCAGCCGCGGUAAUACGGAGGGUGCGAGCGUUAAUCGGAAUUACUGGGCGUAAAGCGCGCGUAGGCGGUUUGCUAAGUCCGCUGUGAAAGCCCCGGGCUUAACCUGGGAACUGCAGUGGAUACUGGCAAGCUAGAGUAUGGUAGAGGAGAGUGGAAUUUCCGGUGUAGCAGUGAAAUGCGUAGAGAUCGGAAGGAACACCAGUGGCGAAGGCGGCUCUCUGGACCAAUACUGACGCUGAGGUGCGAAAGCGUGGGGAGCAAACAGGAUUAGAAACCCGGGUAGUCC